UAGGGAAUCUUCCGCAAUGGGCGAAAGCCUGACGGAGCAACGCCGCGUGAGUGAUGAAGGUCUUCGGAUCGUAAAACUCUGUUAUUAGGGAAGAACAAAUGUGUAAGUAACUAUGCACGUCUUGACGGUACCUAAUCAGAAAGCCACGGCUAACUACGUGCCAGCAGCCGCGGUAAUACGUGGGUGGCAAGCGUUAUCCGGAAUUAUUGGGCGUAAAGCGCGCGUAGGCGGUUUUUUAAGUCUGAUGUGAAAGCCCACGGCUCAACCGUGGAGGGUCAUUGGAAACUGGAAAACUUGAGUGCAGAAGAGGAAAGUGGAAUUCCAUGUGUAGCGGUGAAAUGCGCAGAGAUAUGGAGGAACACCAGUGGCGAAGGCGACUUUCUGGUCUGUAACUGACGCUGAUGUGCGAAAGCGUGGGGAUCAAACAGG
rnacentral:rRNA from 2 species